rnacentral:tRNA from 1 species
GCGCCGGUAGUGUAGUGGCGUAGAGCAUUCCCGCGGUCAACAGGAGGUGCGGGUUCUAGUCCCGUCUGGCGCU